UACAGAGGUCCCAAGCGUUGUUCGGAUUCACUGGGCGUAAAGGGUGCGCAGGUGGGUUUGCAAGUUCGAUGUGAAAGCCCCGGGCUUAACCCGGGAAUGGCAUUGGAUACUGCAGAUCUGGAGGAUUGGAGGGGGGACUGGAAUUCUUGGUGUAGCAGUGAAAUGCGUAGAUAUCAAGAGGAACACCAGUGGCGAAGGCGAGUCCCUGGACAAUUCCUGACACUGAGGCACGAAAGCUAGGGGAGCAAAC
rnacentral:rRNA from 1 species